rnacentral:rRNA from 1 species
GGGCCCGCACAAGCGGUGGAGCAUGUGGUUUAAUUCGAUGCAACGCGAAGAACCUUACCUGGUCUUGACAUACACAGAAUCUUGUAGAGAUACGAGAGUGCCUUCGGGAAUUGUGAUACAGGUGCUGCAUGGCUGUCGUCAGCUCGUGUCGUGAGAUGUUGGGUUAAGUCCCGCAACGAGCGCAACCCUUGUCCUUAGUUACCAGCGGGUUAAGCCGGGAACUCUAAGGAUACUGCCAGUGACAAACUGGAGGAAGGCGGGGACGACGUCAAGUCAUCAUGGCCCUUACGACCAGGGCUACACACGUGCUACAAUGGCAGUGACAAUGGGUUAACCCCCAAAACUGUCUCAGUUCGGAUUGGAGUCUGCAACUCGACUCCAUGAAGUCGGAAUCGCUAGUAAUCG